CCACCAUCCAGAGCGGUCGAGAGUCCUGGCUCGACGACACCGCAGCAACCCGCCGACGGAAGCCUCCCGAGGACAAAGGUGCUAACGCCAGGGUCGAUGGAGU
rfam:Cellulosimicrobium sp. CTA-896 NODE_51_length_17077_cov_83.8201_ID_109, whole genome shotgun sequence.